CUGAACUGGGGCUUCCUCUGAAGAGAGGAAAGUUUUGCCUUCAAGGUGGAGGCAGGAAAAAGGGAAAUAUUACAAGAAGCAUGAAGAUAUGAGAAGAGGUAAAUCUACUGUGAAUGUUAUGAGCCAAGCCCAGAUCAUCAACUUCAAACAGAAUUGGAGGUACCUGUAGAGAGUUAUACUGGCAGACAGGAAUUUACUAAAGCC
rnacentral:lncRNA from 1 species